AGCUCUAUAUUCUCACAGAGAACGAAGGAGACAGCAGAGGAGAAGACAAAGAGUGAGUGAUACUUCAGCGGAAGAAAGAAGUAAAAGUCAGAAAUAGUGAUAGAGAACAAGAGAGAGCUAGAGACAGAGAGGCGGAGUGUGAAAGGAUAUACAUUCAACUGAGACCAGUGGAUCAACAACAUUAAUGGUGAAGAAGAAUGUUUUACUUGAAUAGUAACGAUUUUACAGAGGAGAAUUACUGAAAAACACAAACUUUAUGAUAGAGUCAACAUUUUAACAAAGAGACUAUCAUCAAAUGGACUAGAGAUGACUGGAUUGGGAUGCAAAACUGAGGAAUACCUUCAUGAUGCUUCUGGGGUGGAAAGGUGCUGUGAGCGUUGUCGUAAAGGACAGUAUGUUCGCACCGACUGUGGCAAGUCUACAAAAACAGAGUGUGAAACCUGUCAACAUGAAUACUACACUGCUGAAUUAAACUCCUUGAAAAAAUGUCUACCCUGUAGGGUCUGCCAUUCCAGCAAUAACCAGAGGGUAUUGUGGGAGUGUGAAGCCAGUAGUGACAGGCAAUGUGUGUGUAAGACUGGUUUCUACUGUACAGACAAUGAAUGUGAACACUGCCUACCCGUGAAGCUGUGCUCUCUGGGUUCAGGGGUUGUGAAUCAAGCCACCCGCCAGAAUGACACAGUCUGUGCCCCGUGCCUACCUGGGACCUAUAACAGUGUCAACGAUGCCAUCACACACUGCCAAUCACACACCAGGUGUGGGGACCUAGGGAAGGAGGUGAAAAGUGCUGGGACUGAGACGACCGAUGCUGUGUGUGGUGCCUUCAUAUCUCGGUGUCCCUGGAUACUACCUACCAGUCUGUGGGCGGGACUAGUGGUGACCUCACUCAUCAUAAUCUUGAUCUGCAUCUAUUGGAGGGCCAAGCAUCAAUCAUACAUGCCAGCUAACUCCAGUGGUCCUGGUAUUCCUGUAGAGCCUGCACCUCCUUCCUUCGCUCCAGCUGAGCUCAAGUUCCCCACGGAGUGCAACAGCCAUUGGAGCCUGGACCAGAAAGCCACUGAGCCACUCUUCAUCAACACAGCCUGCGCCAGAGAACUUUGACCCAAUGUGGUUUUGAGGAGAGAUGGGAAUAUGCACGGGACUCCAAUGGCAUGUGCACAGACACACACUGUACAAACUCACUUGGAGACCUUGCGGCUGGCAGGCUGGUGUUUGAACUGCAGAUUUCCAUACUCUGUCUCAGCUCCCUAGAAAGGGGAGAAGAGGACAGCGAGUGUUAGACAUGAUGGGUGGUAUAAGGUCUUGGAUGCCUCUAUGUACUCAGAGACGGCCAGGUAGAUGAACUUGUACUGGGCCUCAGUCUGCACCAUGCCUGACCGCUGGUCUCGCACCAUCUGGAUGCUCUUCUGGAUGUCUAUGUCACAGUCCAGACCUAUGGACAACCAGGAAGUUAGAAUCACAAUCAACAAAAAAACAUUGUCAUUCUACAGUGAUGACAGGCAUUACAAGGAUCAUGGGACAAAAGAGCCAUAAUAAGAUACAGUAUAAAUCAUGAAGAUGUGAAGAAAUGCGGGAACUUUGGUAAUGAAAGAGACUCACCUUUAGUGUCGAUGGUCUCGAUGAUCAUGUCGAUCACCACAAUGGUGCCAGUUCGGCCUAUUCCAGCACUACACAGAAACACAACACAAACAGAGUGGUUGUAGGGACAACUGUCAGUACAGUACAAUGUGAUUGGACUCAAUGCAAUUCACUGAAAUGAAUUAACUGUAUUGAAACAGAAUUUCUAGAGCAGUAUUGAUCAUCUAAGUCAUUCUGUGAUCGGAGGUGUAAAGUGUUCAUGGACAAAUGGAGAGGGAUUUGUCAUGUUGUCACACUAACAGAUGUCUCAGCCAGGGGAUGACCACUUUACACACACGUGACUGUGACAGUUUGGUUAUAUUAUAAAGACCAGUGGAUUGGAUAAGAACUUUGUCCCUAUGGAUGUCUUUCAGUGUAAAGAAGUAAAGGAAAUAGCUUUUGUCAUUAAACUGUACUGCAACAGCCUUGUAAACACUCUAUACACUAUUGUGCUGUACUUAUGUCUGCUUACAUAACAAAUAGUCACGGGACCAACAACAUACAAGAGUACAAGAACCCUCCCUAUUCUUGAUAUCACAAGGGGAAAAUUCCUAUGGUAUAAACUGUCAGUUGACUUAAAAUGCUGAGUACCGCAACUAGGGUUGCACA